rnacentral:rRNA from 1 species
UACGUAGGGUGCGAGCGUUGUUCGGAAUUACUGGGCGUAAAGGGCGCGUAGGCGGCUUAACAAGUCACUUGUGAAAUCUCCGGGCUUAACUCGGAACGGCCAAGUGAAACUGUCAAGCUAGAGUGCAGAAGGGGCAAUCGGAAUUCUUGGUGUAGCGGUGAAAUGCGUAGAUAUCAAGAGGAACACCUGCGGCGAAGGCGGGUAGCUGGGCCGACACUGACGCUGAUGCGCGAAAGCCAGGGGAGCAAACGGG